GGGAUAGAGCAGUGCUUUAAACCAUUUAUCUCUUCUCAUGGAACUUUCCCUCUACCUGGAGGAGGAAGAAAAAUAACAAUGAAAAUCUUAAUAAAUAAAUGAAACAGCAGAUAUUAUAAAGGAAAGCAAGAACUACAAGUCCAGAGACGAGGCUUUUCUAUGGUGUGAAAUUUCUGUCCUGUGUCUCCCUGUCCAAAUUUGUAUGCUGAAAUCCUCACCCUACACCCCCCCACCAGUAAGAGAGAAAGUCAUCUUCCAAGUGUGGCCUCAAAGUUCUUCCCUUCAGUGUAACUGGAGUGGCCUACCACCUAGGAACAGAGACUGUCAUCGGUUAAACAUCUUGCUCCGAUUGACUUAGAUUAGUCAGGAUGUAUCCCUGCAUCGAGAUGGAUCAUUGUCUUCUGAUUCAUGUAGAGGACAGCCAGUGGGAACAAUUAAGAAUUGCAUGACAAUCAGCUGCUGGUAAGAAACUCGGGGAUCCUCGCAAGGCCUGCUCGGAUUCUUCUGUGUGACCUUGUGUCUUCAGAGACAGAUGAAGACCUUUUGAAUGAGGGUGUUAGGACCUGCUUCAGAAGAGAAGGGUGAAAGUGAGAGGACCUUCCUGCUUCUGGGGUCUUUUCAAAGGCUGUCUUAUUUUGAAUUAGCACAUCUUGAACGCCAUCGGGACUAUGGCCUCGAUCCCUCUGACAGGUAUUUGCAGUCUUUCAGCAGGGGUCCUUGGGAUCCUGAGUCCCCACCUUCCAUCCAGUAGCCAGGGUGCCAAAUCUUAGAAGGUGAAUACUUCAUCUGGUAUUUUCACCACUGUGCUGCUAGCACCUGAUCCAGUGUUCGUACUUGUUAGAAAUUCUGUGCAAAUUUGAUGAGUGAACAAAGUUUUGAGGGU